GGGUGCGAUCAUAACAGCACUAAUGCACCGGAUCCCAUCAGAACUCCACAGUUAAGCGUGCUUGGGUGAGAGUAGUACUAGGAUGGGUGACCUCCUGGGAAGUCCUCGUGUUUCACCCUCC
rnacentral:rRNA from 1 species